UAGAGGCAGGUCAGUUCUCUUUCUUAAGCAGCUGAAUCCAGGUCCCAAUCAAUUCCCCUAUCUGGCUCUUACCCUCUGGGCCACCACACACCCACCCUAAUACUCCCAGGUUCAGUUACCAGACUCUCAGGGACAGCCCCUGUGCUCUAGAACCUGCUCACCUCACCCAUUCCUUUCCCUGGAAACCACAACAAAUGUGCCUGCCAGUGGUUUCCUUCUCUUUGCCUCCUGACUGACCCCAGCGCUUCCCCCAGAGUGUCAUGGCCGUCUUCUUCUCAGGCAACUAUGAGGAGACUGAGGCAUAAAUAGAUAAAACAACUUGCCUAAGGUCCUAGGCAAAGUGAGGAUUGUUAAUGGCAAAGCUAGUAUUUGAGCAGAGACAUCAGGCUCCAGAUCCAGCACACCAAACCAUUGGUGAAGAUGCUCUACUUAAAAUGUGGUUGUACCAGUGACCAUUCCAUCCUUUGUUCAUGCAACAAGAACAGCACAGGGCAAAGGUAAAAUCAAUGGCCUUGAACACAAAAGAACAUUAAAAUAAGCCAAAGCAGAGGCAUUUUCUUUAGCUGUCCUUGGUUAUAGUUUCACCAAUUGCCCAUGAAGAUGAACACUGUUCAGGCUGCCAUGUCUCUGUGUCACAUUCACAUGUGAGUCUGAGAGAUCAGAAGAGUUCUACUCCAAGAUUUCAAAACUUUUGGUGGAUCCAAAACAAGAAAAAUGACUAUUUUAAAAUAUACCAAUUUUGUCUAGUUCUGCUAACAAGAGAAACAAUUCACUUGUGGGGAGGUGUAAUUCUUCUCUUACUUGAGGAUCCAGGUUAUGUGGUUACCCAGAGGUAAGGUCUAGAGCCUGGACUAGAAGAGAGAGGCCUGAUUAAUGCUGCAUAAAACAUAACAUGUUGCCUUUACUUGGGAGAGGGUAAGCCAUUAAUUACCUUUCUUCAGUGGGACCUAGAGAAAGGAGAUUUUGUUUUUCUACUUUCUUUUUCCUUUUUUUUAAAAUUUAUUUUUUUAUCAUUUUUUUCUUUUUUCUCACUUUAUAUCCAAAGGUGAAAGAAGAUAUAAAAGCAGAGACUAAAGAGAAUUAGAUGGAUAAUAUGCUACAAGGGCCUUAGCAGAAAAACAAGUCCUUAGGAAGUCCCUGUGAGGAUAGAUUUUUUUGUCUAAUGAACUCUAGUAGCAAUUCAGCCCAGUACUGUGGCUUGAGUUAAUUUUUUUUUUUCAUUCUUUCUCCAUUAGUAAAUGCAUCUGUUGCUGCCAAGACUUCAGUAAAAUUUAUAAGACACUAGAAGUUUGUAUCAGUAGUGCUACCUUAGUGGCAAAUAUUUAUGGAGAGACUUCAGCAGCAUGGAGAGGACUUGAGUCAGUAGGAGACCUAGAACCUUGUAGGGUUUCCACCAGCAUAGACGCGUGCACAUUCGUUGAGUCUGGGAGGCUUAUACCCAGAGAGGAAACUGAACAUCCUGAAUUCACAGCAUGGAGUUAAGGCAAAGGGUAUUCUCAGCAGGUGGGGCAAUUUAGAGAAACUCAGUUUACAUAUGUAAAAGUGCUUCAAAGUCUUCAUUACAGGAGUGUUUUAAAGAUUGUCAGUCCUUUAAGAGUAGAUUUAAGGGCUCCAAGCAAUGUAUCCACAUGGUCAUACACUUGGGUAAAACUUGUAUGAGAUUUUAACUAGGUUUGGCUAAGGCCCCUGUCCUCCCACUUUGAUUUCACACCCCCAUUCUACUCACUGUCUUGUACAGUAAAAUGGGAGCAGGAUGGAAUCUUUAGGAUAUUGUUAAGAGAAACUUCGGAAUAUUACUGCAUCAUGAAAAUGCAUUAUGAAAAACAUUAUGAAAUGUUUUAACAAAACAAUAAAUUAGAAACAUUUUAAAGAUAUUGUAGCAGAUGCUGUGGGACCCCAUCCAUGUAUGCCCGGGUCUUCAUAUUGUAGUGCCUAAAGCUGAUGUCCAACUGCCAUUAUUUGCUUUUUUUCCCCUGGGAUCUUUUAUUGGUAGCCAAAGAAUAUCAAUAUUAGUCUGGGGUAACUAAUCUCAAAAUGACUGAGGAUGCUGACAUAUCAGUCCUUCAGCUCCCACACCUUAAUCACUCAGAUUGGAUACAUCUGAAGCACCU